rnacentral:misc_RNA from 1 species
AAAAAAAAAAAAAAAAACUGAAAUCAGCUCCAAAAGAAAUACUUUUAUGCUGAUAAUUAAAAUAAAUUUCAAACCCUAACCGGCACACGAAAAACUGUUUCUCCAACUGCAACAUCAGCUCCAACGUUUGACUGAUAAAAUGAGUAACCAAGACGACAUCCGAAAUCAAAAUUAGCACGUACAAAAACAUGUAUCUAUAGAUGUACGUAUACGCAGAGAGCGCGAGAUGUAGCAAAUGUGAAUACCGAGUAGACAUGGCGAGGGUGGUGAAAACUAUCUGAAUCGAUGGGAGAAGGAGCGAGAAUGGAGAGGAGACCAAAGAGGAUGAGAAGAACACCGGAAACAGCGGAUAUCACGGGAAGCAAAGAACGGAGGCGGUUGUAAUAGUGAUGGCGCCGCCUAUGAAAAGCCAUUUACGGUGGUUUUGGAGCACUGUCUCUUCUCAGCUCUCCCGCUUUAAAAGAAAUCGAUCUGCUAAUGCUUAGAGUCCAGCAUUGGCUGGAGGGAGAGGCGCAUGAGCCAGCGUACUUGAUAAAAGAGCUGUGAACUGGAGAUAAACGACAAGGAUUGAUUAUCGGCGCGUUAGCGGAUUGGCAUCGGAUGGGCUUUGAGUCGGAGACACAGA